AUUGAACGCUGGCGGCAGGCCUAACACAUGCAAGUCGAGCGGAUGAAGGGAGCUUGCUCCUGGAUUCAGCGGCGGACGGGUGAGUAAUGCCUAGGAAUCUGCCUGGUAGUGGGGGAUAACGUCCGGAAACGGGCGCUAAUACCGCAUACGUCCUGAGGGAGAAAGUGGGGGAUCUUCGGACCUCACGCUAUCAGAUGAGCCUAGGUCGGAUUAGCUAGUUGGUGGGGUAAAGGCCUACCAAGGCGACGAUCCGUAACUGGUCUGAGAGGAUGAUCAGUCACACUGGAACUGAGACACGGUCCAGACUCCUACGGGAGGCAGCAGUAGGGAAUAUUGGACAAUGGGCGAAAGCCUGAUGCAGCCAUGCCGCGUGAGUGAAGAAGGUCUUCGGAUUGUAAAGCACUUUAAGUUGGGAAGAAGAGCAGUAAGUUAAUACCUUGCUGUUUUGACGUUACCAACAGAGUAAGCACCGGCUAACUUCGUG
rnacentral:rRNA from 1 species